CCUACGGGUGGCUGCAGUGGGGAAUAUUGGACAAUGGGGGCAACCCUGAUCCAGCCAUGCCGCGUGUGUGAAGAAGGCCCUCGGGUUGUAAAGCACUUUCAGUGAGGAAGAACGCCUGGUGGUUAAUACCCAUCAGGAAAGACAUCACUCACAGAAGAAGCACCGGCUAACUCCGUGCCAGCAGCCGCGGUAAUACGGCGGGUGCGAGCGUUAAUCGGAAUUACUGGGCGUAAAGCGCGCGUAGGUGGCUUGAUAAGCCGGUUGUGAAAGCCCCGGGCUCAACCUGGGAACGGCAUCCGGAACUGUCAAGCUAGAGUGCAGGAGAGGAAGGUAGAAUUCCCGGUGUAGCGGUGAAAUGCGUAGAGAUCGGGAGGAAUACCAGUGGCGAAGGCGGCCUUCUGGACUGACACUGACACUGAGGUGCGAAAGCGUGGGUAGCAAACAGGAUUAGAUACCCUUGUAGUC
rnacentral:rRNA from 1 species